GCCGCCGGCCCGCUCGGCACCGGGGGCGGCCGUGGGGCUGCGGACGGCAGCGGGGCGGGACGGGAGCGGCGCCUCCGCCGAGCGGCUUAGCCACGGCAGCGCUUACCGCCGGGGGAACCGCGGGCCGCUGUGGGCGGGCUCCGACCUGCCGACGGCACACGGCCGGAGAGAGCGCUCGGGGCUCGCUUCAUGACUUGAGGCUCUUGGGGCCUCCUUGUGGGCCUUUCUACUCCUACCAAACGGGGUGUAAGAGAAUGAGUUCGUCAACACGUAUGUGAGUAGAAGAUACUUGGCUUUCUGUGGAGGUCGUGCAACUGGAGGUUUGGGGUGAUGGGAAAGACGAGUGACCAAGGACAGCACAACCGAGUCACCCCCUCCGUGCCCCCGCCGGCACUGGGGAGAGAGGAAGGAGAUGGAGGCAUUGGGUCUGUGGAUCUUACUCGACUGAGCUCCAGACUUUAUUUCACAAGGAAACCAUACCCACGGGAUUUUCUGUACAGAAAGAAUCAACUCAAAGCGCUUACAAAUUACUAAGUGUCCCACUGGCAAUAAAAUCUCACCCAUAGAGUUUAA